CUUCUUCUUGCUGCCUGCUGGCCUCCUGGGUUUACGGUGUCACUGCGGCCAGGGCUGGGGGAACAGGACGUCUAGAAGACGGUGUGAGGUGAUGGACGAAGCUGGAAACUAGGAUGCCUGGGUUCCCGGGAAGGGCUGAGUCUGAGGGCGGGAAGUCUGGUGCUGGGCUGAUAUGGGGUGGGCAGGGGAGUGGGGGGGGGAGGGGGGCGGGGGUGCCUAAGUACUCUGGGAGGCGAUGGGCCUUGGGUUGGGUAGGAUACCUAGGUUCCCUCCAGAGUAAUGGACUGAGCAGGGGGCAGGGGAAGUGCAGCAGAAAUUGUAUGGGUCCUAGUUUGUUGUUCUGGCUUUGGAGCAGGAUGCCUGGGGGCUGGGCCUCUGAGGUGAAAUGGGAUGUUGAAGAUGGAUCCCAGGUUGAGUUCUGGCUGGGGUCUGAAUGCCUGGGUCCUUAGGGAAGGUCUCAGCGAGGAGAUUGCAAUCAAUGGACCUGAGGAGAUGGAAAUAGAAGCUUGUAACCGAGAUCAUUAGGGCAACUGGAAGAUGACAGAAAAUUCAGAACUGAGGCACCUUGUAGAGAUGACCUGGAUUAGGGUGGGGUGGCAUCAGGGAGCAUCUAUCCAGGGCUAAAUCAGCGGCAUUCCCCACUAAGGCGAGCUUCGGUCGAGGAGGACUGGUGGGGGGGCAUUUCGUGAGGUGGAGGGGAAGAUGGAGGGUAGGACAAAAUGUAUGAGCAGGGGAGAAUGUCAGGAGGGAGAGGAAGUACAGGCCACUUGGAGGUAUUCUUUUCUUCUUUUUUCUUUUUUCUUCUUUUUUGAGACCCAAGUCUUGCUCUGUCGCCAGGCUGGAGUGCAGUGGCACGAUCUCAGCUCACUGCAACCUCUGCCUCCCGGGUUCAAGCAUUCUCCUGCCUCAGCCUCCCGAGUAGCUGGGAUUACAGGUGCCCGCCACCACGCCUGGCUAAUUUUUGUAGUUUUAGUAGAGACAGGAUUUCACUAUGUUGGCCAGGCUGGUCUCGAACGCCUGACCUCAGGUGAUCCGCCUGCCUCGCUCUCUCAAAGUGCUGGGAUUACUGGCGUAAGCCACCGCACGCAGCCCACUCAGAGGUAUUCUUAAGGGACCCCAGUACAAGGUAGGAGUCUUGGAGAAUGCAGAUGUCUGGGGGAGAUGGAGGCUGGAUCUGUCUGUACUUGUCUCAAGAGGGAGGGUGGCAGCCAGAUUUCCCAGAAUGCCACACAGCCAGCUUCAGGCCAACCCCAAUCAGAGGAAAAGUGGGUGGGAACUGGAACGUUUGAGGUUUAGGGAGGUAGAAGCUGAGGGGAAGAAGUUGGUGAAAGGGUGGUGGGACUGAAGUUUCGGAAUGGUUUAGGAAGGGGAAAGAGACUGACAUUCCUGGGUUCUGGAGGGAAAUUGGGACUGGAUGGUCAAUUAAGGUGCAGGAAGUUUGAGUUUCUGUUUCUGGGUCCCAGCAAUCUCUUGCCCUCACGCCAGUAAUCUGGUUUGAAGAAAAGACCUGUUUCUGUACCUGCCAAGACACUCCAGCUCAAGGGAGAGAAUGCUGGGAGUGCCAAUGCCUUAGUCUCAUUCUGAUUCAGUGGGGCAGAGAUCUCAGGGGAUUGGCCUUGGGAGAGGAUAUGGGGUUUCUGGGUCCAUCAGAGGAGGUCCUCCUGCUCUGGGUCUGACCUACCACCAUGCUGGUCAACUCCAGUAUGAAAAACCCUUGCUUCUCCUUAGACCCUGCACCUCCUUUCCUCUUCCCAUUCUUUCUCCUCCUGGGUGGACUCAGAGACUAAACAAGAGCCAUCAUCAGGCAUGGUCGAUUGGUUUUAGAGACCCCUUUGCGCUCAGCUGUUGUCCACCCUGCCACACUGCCCCAGGGACUCUGGGUUAGGAAGAUCUCAGAAGAGGGGUUGCUUAAGCUUACCAAGGGGAAGCAGCUGGCUAGAGGACGGGGUGACCUUGCAGGCAGCUGGGGUGGGGGGAAGGUGUGUGGGGUGAAUUCAUUAUUGAUGAGCCCUGCACCCCGGGCUACUAAUGAGCCCAGGCCGGCUGCUCUAAUUGAUGUCAAGAAACUUGAGACCCCCAGAUCAGCUUCCCGCCUGCCAGCUGCCUCUCCUGAGCCCCCUCCCCCUCCCUGCACCCCCAGCUGCUCUGUUCACUUCCUAAGGCCUCCUUUCCUUCUCCUUUUCAUCUCCACCAACACAGACAAGGAUAGGGCUCAGGCCUUCUAGCCCCCCUACACUUAAAUUCGUCUGGAUUAUUCAAGUCUCAAGGUGGGAGCCACACUUCCUUCGGAGGGUUGGGAGAUUUGGGAGAAGAAACUUAGACCAGGAGUCUGAGAAUUAGAGCUCAGGGAAAGAGAGGCUCAUACUAGAUUACAUCUGUGGCAUUUCUGAGCUCAAGGAAUUUCUUCCUUAUAUUGUGCAUCCACGGGUAAGAACUUGUCACUCUCUCAAAAGUACAGGCCCUACACAGUGACACACCCAUGACACCAGCCCAAUUUUCACAGCCCACUUCCCUUCCUUAUUUCCUCCUCACAACAGUGGAAGACAUUUUAGGUCUGGCCCCUGGAGUUUGGCUGCUUCUACCCCCACCUCUCUCCCAAGAAGGGGACUCCUCUUAAUGUAUCAGGUAUGGGAUUUCCUCCCUCUAGAAUUUCUGGUGCCUUGUUAUGCCACGGCUGCCAUUCUUAGAAAUGCUAGGGGGUUCUUUGUCUCAUCCUGUCUCUUCUACCCCAUCAGCCCCUUUUCAUUUGUGGGUUCUGUGAAGACAUUCCUGACUCAGAGCAUUCUAAGAAGUCACAGACUGGAGUGUGGUCCAGGGUUGGUCUCCCAGGAGGGAUAUUUUUAGGUGAUGCAGGCCCUGCUAGGCAGAAGCCUGAGUUAAUGAGAAUAGUCCUGGUGAUGGGGGAAGAGGGUGAGGUGGACCUCAUACCCUACCUUCCCAAAUUUCCCAUAAAUUUGUGGCUAUGCUGCCCUCUGGUGGCUGAAUUUUAGUCUAUCCUGACAGGGACAUCUUUGUCUCCAACAACCGCAAUUGCUCUCCCUCUUGCUGCCCGUUAGGACAGGCCUUGAGGAGAAAAGAGAACCCUGAGGGUCCCUCACUUUGCGAGAUUUAUCUUCAAAGAUCUGAACCCUGUGGCAUGUUGGUUAAGAAUUCGGGCUUUCCCAGCCAGAUAAGGCUGAGUUUCACUCUGUUCUGCCACUCACUGUGUGACUUUGCACAAGUUAUGUAACCUCUCUGGGCCUCAGUUUCUCUUUGUGUAAAUGGGAUAAAUAGUACCAACCUCACAGAACUCUGUGAGAAAUUAAAUGUGAUAAUGUAUGCAAACUAACACCCCCUACCAGCACACAGUAGCAAUGAAAACAAAGCAAUACAAAAACCUAACUGGGCUUUCUUCUAAUUUAGUUCCGUGGCUUUUUCCUCUCAACUCAUUUCAUUAUUCUGAUUUAGGGAAGCCUGGUAAAUUUUCUGAACCAUCCUCCCCCACCUCCACCUUGGACCUCCCCCUUUGCAUUCUGCUCUAAUCCUCAAACCCAAAGAGAAGAGGUUCCUUUCCCUUCUCCCUUGGGAGUGUUGGGGACCAGGUCUGAUGGGGGAUGAGGGAGGGGCAGAGGAGUCAAGCCCUGCUUUCUCUCCUUCCAUCACCUCUUUCACCUAAGAAGGGAGCCUAGAACUAGUUUCACAGUUUCUGGGGGGUCAUACUUCUGGCUCCUAGUGGAAAGAAGCCAUGAGAGAAAUAGGCAUCUGCUUUCCACCAAGUCGCUUGGUUCCAGGAUGGGUUUGGAAAGAGUAACAUGAGAUCACAGAUUCUAGUUCUGGUCAGUGGGGGCACUGGGUCAGAUUUAUUGCACUUGCAACAGAGUUUAAAUAAGUCCUGGGUGUCUGGUGCCAAGGUGAGGGAAGGGUUGGGCAGAGAGAUGAGGGGCAGCAUCAGUGCAGCUGGCAGGCAGAACCCAAAUUCUGCAGGCCCAGGACAGUGGGCUCCCCUUUCUCUGGGGAACAGGGAGGGCCUGUGUCUGGCCAGGCUGAGGUUCCAGAUCUGUUGCCAUCAUGGCCCCUUCAGGGUCCUGGGAAAUUCCUGGCUUCUCCUAAAUCAGGGUGAACUGGGCCUCCAGGAUCAGGUCUGGAGCAGGCCCAAAUAUAGUCCUGGAUCUGCCUGGAUUAGGUGCCAAUGUCUGAGUCUGGGUUCCAGAUCAACUCCAGACCCCAGGCUGGAUCUGGCCCCAUUUGAGUUCUGAUUCCCCUUGGAGCUGGGCUCUGGGCCCUGGGCCAGCAUCUAUCCUUGUGUGGCAUCUGUCCUGAGCUGGUCCUGGGGCACCAUGCAUAGUUAGUGUUCUUUGUUGGCCCACCAGGGUGGGGCUGUCCAGAGCUGCCAGGUCUUAACUCCCCAAGUUCCAGGUUCUUAGCUGGGGGCUUCUUUUGGAUCUCUGGCAAGGCUGAGGACAGAUCUUUGCAGGUUGGAGCUGGACAGGAAGUCCUUGUGGCAUGUCUGGCCCAAAGAACUGUGAAUGGAUUUCCUAGUUAUCUUUCCAAGUUGUUUCAGGAAACUCUCCAAAAUGCAAAGGCUUCAGGGAGGCUGGGGCCUCUGUCCCUGGAUCUGAGUUCCCCCAUCCAUGAAGAGGGUAUGUGUAAACAAGGGUCCUUCACAGUGCAUGGGGGGGAGGGAUCCCCAGCUCCUCACCCCCCUGGCUCUGGCCCUUCAAGUAUGUCUCUGGGCUGGGGAGAGGAGCUUCUCCCUGGCCGUCAGCACCUUCAAGAAGUACCCAGACCCCUCCUUUUCAGUAGAAUGAGGGUGGGGGGACUGGUUCUUCAGGAAUGGGAGUCUGAAAUUGGGAGGACUCAGGCAUCAGAGGUGGCUGGAGGCUUGAGCUGAGCUUUUUCCAUGGCGGUGCCAUAUGGGAGGGAGCGUUUGAAGAAUCCAAGCUGAUAAAGGGGAAAAGAGGGAGAGUUUAGGUACUAUGGCUGCCAUUUCUCCACAGCUCUUAUUCCAAGAAGUAAUAAGGAGGACUCUAGUGCCUCCAACCUCUACAUCCUGCAAAAGUGGCCUCUGAAUUCAGGCUAGGACUACCCCUCUAAGUUGUGCAAUGGACCCAGGAGGACCAAACUUGGGGGUGAUUUUGUAUGGGGGGUAUCUUUUACCAGUGCCUUUAAAAUUCCCCAGUUAAGCCAGAAAUGGCAGAUAGGUUUGAACUCAAAUGCCAAGUCUGAUUGCUUAGUAGUGGCUGCUUCUGUUUGUUUGUUUGUUUUUGAGACAGGGUCUCACUCUGUUGACCAGCCUGGAGUGCAGUGGCAUGAUCAUGGCUCACUGUAGCCUCAAACUCCUGGGCUCAAGCGAUCCUCCCACCUCAGCCUCCAGAGUAGCUGGGACUAUAGGCACGCACCACCAAACCUGGCUAAUCUUUGUGUUUUUUUUGUAGAGACAAGGUCCUAGUGUGUUACCCAGGCUGGUCUUGAAUUCCUGGGCUCAAGCUGUCUUCCCACCCUGGCCUCCCAAAAUGUUGGGAUUACAGGUGUGAGCCACCACACCUGGCCAUGGCUGCCUCUUGAGAGAGAUUCUGAAGCCACUUCUAGGAGAUGAUCAGUAGCCAUUUCUAGGUUAGUGAUGGCUGCCAUGGAUUUUUGGAGAAAUUGACAGCACAAAUGCCACGUAUUUGUCAUCUUUGGGUUCCAAUGAUUUUGCAAGUAUAGGCAAACUUAUCAUCUUGAGUCAAGAGGACCCUUUCUAAGCUAGGGGCUAUAGAAUGAAGGGGGGGAUCUUAUAGGAAGGGUUAGGAUGGGAUGCAUGUAGCCAGGACAGAGGUGGGGGCACAUGGCUGGUGAACUGGUCUAGAGGUAGAUACUUGGGACUGUGCCAGGUCAAGGGCAGAGCCUGAUGAGAGGGUGGCCAAGUCACAAGCAGGAUGUGGCUGACCUUGUAGAGGAUGUAGAUGAGUAGACCUAGGAGCAGGAGGCCAAACAGGAUGGCUAGGAUGAUGAUCCACAGUGGGACGCCAUAGCUGCCUUCUGCCUUGGUCCAUUGCACAGCUGUGGCCACCUGGGGAGCAAGUUGGGUGAAGUCAAUGAAAGCUCAGAAGUUCUUUCUACCCUAUACUUGGCCCCCACUUGUCAUUGGAUCUGCAGAGCCCAGUGGGCUCCCCUUUCUCUGGGGAACAGGGAGGGCCUGUGUCUGGCCAGGCUGAGGUUCCAGAUCUGUUGCCAUCAUGGCCCCUUCAGGGUCCUGGGAAAUUCCUGGCUUCUCCUAAAUCAGGGUGAACUGGGCCUCCAGGAUCAGGUCUGGAGCAGGCCCAAAUAUAGUCCUGGAUCUGCCUGGAUUAGGUGCCAAUGUCUGAGUCUGGGUUCCAGAUCAACUCCACCUCUUAUUUUGAACUAACAGCAUUCUGAACUUAAAAAUUGAAGUUCCUAAAAUGUACAAUAUUGUCUCUUACUUUCGGGCUUUCAUAUCAUAUCCAUUUUUUUUUUUUUUUGACAGAGUCUCACUCUGUCACUCAGGCUGGAGUGCAGUGGUGUGAUCUCAGCUUACUACAACCUCUGCAUCCUGGUCUCAAGCGAUCCUCCUGCCUCAGCCUCCCGAGUAGCUGGGACCACAGAUAUGCGCCACCACAUCUGGCUAAUUUUUGUAUUUUUUGUAGAGACAGGAUCUCACUAUGUUGCCCAGGUUGAUCUUGAACUUCUGAGCUCAAGCAAUCCACUUGCCUUGGCCUUCCAAAGUGCUGGGAUUACAGGUGUGAGCCACUGCGCUCAGCCUCAUAUCUGUUAUUCACCUCUCCCCAGGAUAUCCCUUUCCUGAAUGGCUAGCCUGGUUAGUUCCUAUUUAUUCUUCAGGUCUCAGCUUGAACAUCACUUCUUCCAGGAAGCCUUCCCUGACCCAGUUAGACUGGGUUCAGGUGUUCCUAUUAUGUGUUUUCAUAAAUAUCACCACACUUGGAACACUGUGUUGUUCCACGAGACUGUGAACACCAGGAGCAAAGAUACCAUGUUGAUCUUGCUUACCACUCUGUCUCUGGCAUCUGCACAGUGCUUGGCACAUAGUACAUUCUCAACAGUUGUUAACAAUACCAAGGCCAGCCCUCACCCAAGUCCCAGCCCUGUUCCAGCACUCUGAGCCCUGUAUUCCCUCAUCCAGUCCUCUGGCCCUAGACUCACCUGACGCUCUUUUUGGGGCAGCUGCCGAGGCAGGAUUCGGUAGGGCAUCUUCAGGGCUUUGUACACAGCCUCACACUGCAGGCUAAAUGGCUGGUGCUCCCGCUGUGGGUAGGGGAAAGUUGGUUAGCACAUCCUCUCUUGGGAUCCAGAGGACAUAGGGUUCCCCAUCGUCUGGCUGGGGUUGUGAUCUUUC
rnacentral:lncRNA from 1 species